GUACAACUUGCACCCUUUACAGUUCAUCACGCAGGAUUUAGUAAAGAAAUAGUAAAACUUUGGUGUCUAUUGUCUGAGAUUGUUCAGUUGAGUAACAAAAUGAAAUUGCUGGAAUCGGAACUCACUAGGCUGGGUGAUCUGCAGUACCAAUUUAAUGAAAACAUUUACAAGCAGUUUCCAGAAACAUUGAAAAAACAGAAAAUACACCAUAAUCUCCAUACUGAGCAACAAAUCAGACUUCAUGGGGUCCCUAUAGGUUAUACUACUGAGACAGGGGAAAGCUGGUGUGGUAUAGUCAAACAUUUUCAGAGCAUUACAAACCACCACAAUGCCAA